CCUGACGCAGCAACGCCGCGUGAGUGAAGAAGGCCUUUGGGUCGUAAAGCUCUGUCAACAGGGAAGAAGUUAUUAUGCUUGAAUAGAGUGUAGUAUUGACGGUACCUGAGAAGGAAGCAUCGGCUAACUCCGUGCCAGCAGCCGCGGUAAUA
rnacentral:rRNA from 1 species